ensembl:lincRNA Kantr Kdm5c adjacent non-coding transcript
AGGGUUCGGUGGAGCAUUGCGUGAAGCGUCUGCGUGUCUGCGAGAUCUUGCUGUGGGCCAGGUAUCCAUUCUCCUGCGGCUGCUUAGACCCUACGGAGACUAGAGGUCCGUGGGUGGUGGAGGAUCCUUUGCGUAGCAAAAAAAGAAGGCGAGUGCCCCUGCAUCCUCUCCAGACGGUACCCAGGGUCUCGCUUUUCAGAUCUAGCUGUUGUGGACCUCACUGAGAUCCCCAUCUGCCUACAAAGUGCUGGGAUUAAAGGUUUGCUUUGAGCAUCUCGUCAUUAAACCAUUGAUCGUUGAGACUUCUUUCAAGUAUGAGGUUUCUAACAUUAAUAUUUUCAAGACUAGGGAUGCAGUUCACUGGUAA